AGAUGAAAAAAAAAAAGACAGAAAAAUAAAUGUUUGCUUACUUUUGCUUAGAUUUUUCCUCAAUAGGCUUAAGGAAUUCACGACAGAUCUAUGCCAUGUGACAAGCACCAAUGCUGGAGUACCAUAGUAACCAUGAUUAUAUAUAUACACACACAAUAAUAUUUAUUAUGAUCUAUACGUUAAUAUCUUUUAUAUAGUU
rnacentral:lncRNA from 1 species